GAGUGUCAGAAGAAGCUGGGGUGAGAGGAAGGCUGCAGGAGCUGCGUCCUCAGCUGCUGUCAUGACAUUGAGCCCGAGGAGAAAGCCUGGUUCUCUUACAGCCCUUUGUACAAACUACAGCUUCCAGCUUGAAAUCCCAGGGAUUUAUUUUAACUGGCUCUCCCUUAUUAUAGGUUCUGCAGAGUAACAGCCUGUAAUGGAAUCCCUGAAAGAAACUCCAAAGGGAGAAAAAUUCCAGCGUAUUUUUGCUUGCAUUCACAGAUGCGGGCAGAGACCAAGAAGCCCAUAUGGUCUAACUUUGACACCUCUCAUCCAUCAAACCAAAAAGCAGCUAACAAUCUUGGAUGUCCCAUCUGUGACAUCUGACUUCCAGAGGAGAAUGUCAGGAAUUUCUGAAGAAUCAAAACCCCAUACCCAGCAUAUGUUUUGAACUGGGCACCCAAAACAAAUGGACUCUUGGAAGGAGGCUCCUGUUUUCCAAACACUCCCAAAUAACUUUGAAUACUUCAUUGAAGAAGUGAGAUGUCUGCCAGAAAAUUGUAAACUAUUCAGAAAUGCCAAGCACAAGAAGGGAACAUUAAGAAAAGCCUAUUUGGCAUCCAAUGGUAAAUUCAAAAAAUAAUAAAAAAUAAUUAAAAACCCCA
rnacentral:lncRNA from 1 species